CAGUCGCCGCGGUAAUACGGAGGGAGCUAGCGUUGUUCGGAAUUACUGGGCGUAAAGCGCACGUAGGCGGCUUUGUAAGUUAGAGGUGAAAGCCUGGGGCUCAACUCCAGAAUUGCCUUUGAGACUGCAUCGCUUGAACACGGGAGAGGUGAGUGGAAUUCCGAGUGUAGAGGUGAAAUUCGUAGAUAUUCGGAAGAACACCAGUGGCGAAGGCGGCUCACUGGACCGUUGUUGACGCUGAGGUGCGAAAGCGUGGGGAGCAAACAGGAUUAGAUACCCCAGUAGUCCCUGUCUCUUAUAC
rnacentral:rRNA from 1 species